GAGGGAUAUUGCGCAAUGGGGGAAACCCUGACGCAGCGACGCCGCGUGGGUGAUGAAGGCCUUCGGGUCGUAAAACCCUUUUGCCACUGACGAGGAAGGACGGUAGGUGGCGAAUAAGCCUCGGCUAACUACGUGCCAGCAGCCGCGGUAAAACGUAGGAGGCAAGCGUUAUCCGGAGUUACUGGGCGUAAAGCGCGCGCAGGCGGUUCGUUAAGUGGGGCGUGAAAGCCCCGCGCUAAACGCGGGGAGGACGAACCAUACUGAUGGACUGGAGUGGAGCAGAGGGACAUGGAAUUCCGGGGGUAGCGGUGAAAUGUGCAGAUAUCCGGAGGAACACCAGAGAUGAAAACGGUGCCCUGGGCUCACACUGACGCUGAGGCGCGAAAGUGUGGGGAGCGAACG
rnacentral:rRNA from 1 species